rnacentral:lncRNA from 1 species
UCACUUAACAAUGUCACCAGUGGUGGGAUUGCCCCUGAAGCACCAAUUGUAACCUUAUUCUCAUCCACCACCGAAAGGCUAAAGAGGGUAGCUGCAGCAUUUUCCCGUGCUUCCAUGCUCCCCCUCUUGAGCACAUAAACUAUACCAGGUACAGCUCCAGAGUUAAUAAUGCUUGAUUUGUUAUCUUCACAUAUGGAAAGGUUAAGAAGCGCUGUGACAGCAUGCUCUUGGGUGCGGGAAUCAGGUGUUGCAAGGAGGUUGACCAGGAGAGGGAUGGCCCCCGCUUCGGCAAUGGCCACUCGAUUAUCUGCAUUGCGCUUAGCAAGAAGGCGGAUCUCACCUGCUGCAUUUCGCUGGUCUUCAGGGCUGCCAGAUCGAAGCUUGUUGAGAAGAAUUUCUAUGUUGGUGCGCUCAGCUGGUGAGCAGGAAGAUGCAGUUUUACUGGGCCGAGAACUGCUGGGUCUUUUUGGUGGCUCG